GACGAACGCUGGCGGCGUGCUUAACACAUGCAAGUCGAACGGAAAGGCCCUGCUUUUGUGGGGUGCUCGAGUGGCGAACGGGUGAGUAACACGUGAGUAACCUGCCCUUGACUUUGGGAUAACUUCAGGAAACUGGGGCUAAUACCGGAUAGGAGCUCCUGCUGCAUGGUGGGGGUUGGAAAGUUUCGGCGGUUGGGGAUGGACUCGCGGCUUAUCAGCUUGUUGGUGGGGUAGUGGCUUACCAAGGCUUUGACGGGUAGCCGGCCUGAGAGGGUGACCGGCCACAUUGGGACUGGGUUACGGCCCGGACUCCUACGGGAGGCAGCAUUGGGGAAUAUUGCACAAUGGGCGGAAGCCGGUUGCGGCAACGCCGCGUGCGGGAUGACGGCCUUCGGGUUGUAACCCGCUUUCGCCUGUGACGAAGCGUGAGUGACGGUAAUGGGUAAAGAAGCACCGGCUAACUACGUG
rnacentral:rRNA from 1 species